GAUGAACGCUGGCGGCGUGCCUAACACAUGCAAGUCGAGCGACGCGUGGACGGGUGAGUAACACGUCUGUAACCCCCCAUAAGACUGGGAUAACUUCUGGAAACCGUAGCUAAACCGGAUACUUACCCAUGUAUCCGCGCGGCAUUAGCUAGUUGGUAAGGUAACGGCUUACCAAGGCCACGAUGCAUAGCCGGCCUGAGAGGGUGAUCGGCCACACUGGAACUGAGACACGGUCCAGACUCCUACGGGAGGCAGCAGUAGGGAAUCUUCCGCAAUGGGCGAAAGCCUGACGGAGCAACGCCGCGUGAGUGAAGAAGGGCUUCGGAUCGUAAAACACUGUUAGUGGGGAAGCGGUACCUGAACAGAAAGCAACGGCUAACUACGUGCCAGCCGCCGCGGUAAUAC
rnacentral:rRNA from 1 species